UUGAACGCUGGCGGCAUGCCUUACACAUGCAAGUCGAACGGCAGCACGGGAGCAAUCCUGGUGGCGAGUGGCGAACGGGUGAGUAAUGUAUCGGAACGUGCCCAGUCGUGGGGGAUAACGCAGCGAAAGCUGUGCUAAUACCGCAUACGAUCUACGGAUGAAAGCGGGGGAUCGCAAGACCUCGCGCGAUUGGAGCGGCCGAUAUCAGAUUAGCUAGUUGGUGGGGUAAAAGCCCACCAAGGCGACGAUCUGUAGCUGGUCUGCGAGGACGACCAGCCACACUGGAACUGAGACACGGUCCAGACUCCUACGGGAGGCAGCAGUGGGGAAUUUUGGACAAUGGACGCAAGCCUGAUCCAGCAAUGCCGCGUGCAGGAUGAAGGCCUUCGGGUUGUAAAGCUCUUUCAGCAGGAGCGAAACGGUCGUUUUUAAUACAGACGGCUAAUGACGGUACCUGCAGAAGAAGCACCGGCUAACUACGU
rnacentral:rRNA from 1 species